rnacentral:tRNA from 1 species
GGGAAUUUAAUGUAAUGGUAGCAUAACAGAUUCCAAACCUGUUUGUAAGGGUUCAAAUCCUUUAAUUCCCGCCA